GCUGUGGAGGAACAGAUCCUGCAUCAGUGUUACAUCGCUAUGAAAAGAGCAGCCAGAAGGACAUCGGGUUCUUUUAGUGUUUAUGCAUCUUGACAUCAUACGAAGAAACGCUGGCGUUCAUACUGUUGAUCGAACAUGUCUCCGAAUCGAUUUCAGUGCAGAAAUGAAUACCACUGAAUGAAGAGAGGACAGUAACGACACCCGAACAAAAGCACGCGGGGUGUGUGAGGUUAUUCUGCAAACACUCGACGGACAGAUGCUGAAAUCCCUUAAUUUCCAGCGCAGCGCUGGCCUGCAUUAAAGCGCUUUCUUCUCCAACCAUCACAACAUGAUCUCUAUCUGUGGCGGGAGAGGAAAUCAGGCUAGCGUGCGGUGAAAGAGGAGCGCUCGUGAGCGCGUGAGGCCUGCGGACCGUCAUGAUUGAUCAGACGGAGGACGGUGGACACACAGCCGCAGCUCUGCGUUCUAGCGCUCUAAGCGAUGCAGACAGACAGAGCUGCGACUGUCAUCUUUAGGCUGUUCUUGACCACCAGCUCACAGCGUUCUGGCCUUAUCAGCAGCUGACAGGCCUCUAUUGUGGCCAGUGUCUGACUGCUAAGUUUAGGGGCCAAGCAGGGGCCAAGCAUCUUUAUCGGCCCUCUAUGGUCCUGCAUUUCACCCCAUCCUCAGGGGUGAUAAAGGACAAGAGAGCAAGCGUGAGGGGGGCCAAUGGUUUUGGCUUGACAGAUAAGCGCUGUCGGCCAUGGCCUCCACCUUCUCCAUUAGUCAGGCGGCCUCUACAGGGGCUGACCGGCCAUAAGUUUAGUGGACACUAACUGCCUCAUUAGUCAAGUCAUUAGCGACAGCAAACACCAAUUGCGGCCUAGAGAACAGUGGCAGGGCUAAUUAAAGGGCCAGCGCGUGACCUCCGCACACUGCCAGCUCUAGACAGCUGCGUGCCCGCGGUGCCUGCCAAAGCAGCAGGAGUUAACACACACGCACACACACACAACCGCAGAGCGACCCCUGGUUGCCAGGCAGUUAUCAGCUUUCAGGAAACAAGAACGGCCUUAAAUCGCGCCUUUGUUUGGUCAAACGCUUUGCGAGAAGAUGCAUCCAAACCUCUAAAAUCCUCUCGAGAAUUUACUUUCUGAAAAGUGAAAUCCUUCAGAGAUUAAAGACCUAAAGUGUGUGGACGUUGUCUCAUAAAAACAGGGUUUCCCAACUUUUUUAUGCACAUUAUUUAGGAAAGAAAUGAAUACUUUUACUCAGCAAGGAUGCAUUAAAUUGAUCAAAAGUGACAGUAAAAACAUUUAUAAUGUUACAAAAAAAAAUCUGUUUCAAAUAAAUGCUUUUCUUUUGAACCUUUUAUUCAUUAGGGAUUCUGGAAAAACAAUAUAUCAGGGUUUAAAAAAAAAUAUAUAUAUAUGAAACAGCAUAACUUCUCAGCAUUGAUAAUAUUAAGAAAUGUUACUUGAGUGGCAAAUCAACAUAUUAGAAUGAUUUCUAAAGAAUCAUGUGACACUGAAGACUGGAGUAAUGAUGCUGAAAAUUCAGCUUUGCAUCACAGAAAUAAAUUACAUUUUACAAUAUAUUCAAACAGAAAACAGUUAUUUUAAAUAGUAAAAAUAUUUUAAAUUUUUACGGAUUUUGCUGUACUUCGGAUCAAAAUGAUGUACUUCCUGUUCAAAAAGCUAUACAAAUGUGUGAAAUUGUACUAAUGUUUCACAAUAUUUUUAAUUUUACUGUAUUUUUGCUCAAAGAAAUGCAGCCUUGCUGAGCAUAAGAGACGAUUUUCAAAAAUCUUACUAAUCACAAACCUAAUGGAACAUUUGUUUGUAAAUGUGACCUUGGACCACAAAACCAGUAAUAAAUCAGUUUUUGUUUAUUUUUAAAUUUGAGAUUUAUUCAUCAAAGCUGAAUAAGUAAGCUUUCCAUUGAUGUAUUGUUUGUUAGGAGAGAAUAUUUGGCUGAGAUACAGCUAUUUGAAAAUCUGGAAUCUGAGGGUUCAAAAAAAUCGCCUUUAAAGUUGUCCAAAUGAAGUUCUUAGCAGUGCACACUACUAAUCAAAAAUUAAGUUUUGAUAUAUUUAUGGUAGAAAAUUUACAAAAUAUCUUCAUGGAAUAUGAUCUUUACUUGAUUUUUGGCAUUUUUUGGCAAUAAUUUUGACCCAUACAAUGUAUUUUUGGCUAUUGAUACAAAUAUGCCCACGCUACUUAAGACUGGUUUUGUGGCCCAGGGUCACAAAUGAGAUCUAGAUUUUAAAUAUUCUUGGUUCAAUAUCAUCUGGAGUUUCUACAAUAUAUAUAUAUAUAUAUAUAUUUAAAUGUGGCCCUCUUUUCUUGAAAUCUUUCCAAGUACCGUUUGGAACAAAUGCCUGGUUGGGAAUCACUGCUUAAAAAUAUUUUAACAGACUAUCAGA